rnacentral:rRNA from 1 species
AAUGCCUAGGAAUCUGCCUGGUAGUGGGGGAUAACGUUCGGAAACGGACGCUAUACCGCAUACGUCCUACGGGAGAAAGCAGGGGACCUUCGGGCCUUGCGCUAUCAGAUGAGCCUAGGUCGGAUUAGCUAGUUGGUGAGGUAAUGGCUCACCAAGGCGACGAUCCGUAACUGGUCUGAGAGGAUGAUCAGUCACACUGGAACUGAGACACGGUCCAGACUCCUACGGGAGGCAGCAGUGGGGAAUAUUGGACAAUGGGCGAAAGCCUGAUCCAGCCAUGCCGCGUGUGUGAAGAAGGUCUUCGGAUUGUAAAGCACUUUAAGUUGGGAGGAAGGGUUGUAGAUUAAUACUCUGCAAUUUUGACGUUACCGACAGAAUAAGCACCGGCUAACUCUGUGCCAGCAGCCGCGGUAAUACAGAGGGUGCAAGCGUUAAUCGGAAUUACUGGGCGUAAAGCGCGCGUAGGUGGUUUGUUAAGUUGGAUGUGAAAUCCCCGGGCUCAACCUGGGAACUGCAUUCAAAACUGACUGACUAGAGUAUGGUAGAGGGUGGUGGAAUUUCCUGUGUAGCGGUGAAAUGCGUAGAUAUAGGAAGG